rnacentral:rRNA from 1 species
GAUGAACGCUGGCGGCGUGCCUAAUACAUGCAAGUCGAGCGAACAGACGAGGAGCUUGCUCCUCUGACGUUAGCGGCGGACGGGUGAGUAACACGUGGAUAACCUACCUAUAAGACUGGGAUAACUUCGGGAAACCGGAGCUAAUACCGGAUAAUAUAUUGAACCGCAUGGUUCAAUAGUGAAAGACGGUUUUGCUGUCACUUAUAGAUGGAUCCGCGCCGCAUUAGCUAGUUGGUAAGGUAACGGCUUACCAAGGCAACGAUGCGUAGCCGACCUGAGAGGGUGAUCGGCCACACUGGAACUGAGACACGGUCCAGACUCCUACGGGAGGCAGCAGUAGGGAAUCUUCCGCAAUGGGCGAAAUCUUUUCGGAGCUUCGUCGCGUGAGUUAGGAAGGUCUUCGGACCCUAACACCCUGUUAUGAGGGAAGAACAGAUGUCUAAGCUAAUAUGCACGUCUUGACGGUACCUUAUCAGAAAGCCACGGCUAACUACGUG